rnacentral:rRNA from 1 species
AUGAACGCUGGCGGCGUGGAUAAGGCAUGCAAGUCAAGGGGGCCCGCAAGGGCAACCGGCAGACGAGGUAGUAAUAAGUAGGAACGCACCCUGAAGUCGGGUAUAGCUAGCCGAAAGGUUAGGUAAUUCCCGAUAGUCCGAGCACAAAAUUUUAUUUUGGAAUCAUUAUCAAAAAUAAAAUUUUGUGCUCGGUAAAGUCGCAAGACGCUUUAGGAGCGGCCUGCUCGGUAUCAGCUAGUUGGUAGGGUAAAAGCCUACCAAGGCUAUGACGCCUAGGGGAGGUGAGAGCCUGACCCCCACCGAUGGAACUGAGAUACGGUCCAUACACCUACGGGUGGCUGCAGUCGAGAAUCUUCCACAAUGGACGAAAGUCUGAUGGAGCGACGCCGCGUGCGGGAUGAAGUCCUUCGGGAUGUAAACCGCUUUUGCCAGGGAGGAAGUCUAUUGACGUUACCUGGAGAAUAAGAGGUUGCUAAACUCGU